CACAGCAAGACUGUUAGUCAAGCACAAUGUGGAUCAACUCAGAUUACCAAUAGAAGCAUCUGUUCAACAUAGGAGCUACAUUCAUCAAGUAACUUUUAUAGAGAGUUCCUGAGACAGAAAACGGACACUGAAGUUUAUAGUUCCUGAGUAGUGAGUUAAUUCAAGCACAUGGAUUUUCCUCACUCACAUGAUACCUGGCCAACUUCCUUUAAGUAUGUGUCUGAUCUCUCUCACAGAUACUGUGUAUAUUGGUGGGUGAGUGUGACCCAAGUUUAUGUGUUAUUUCUGCAUCUGCUUUCACGGAGAAAAGUGAAGCCAAUGGAGAGGGGAAAAAAAUUAUUUGGACAAGGUCACUCACACACCUGUUCAUGAGCCAUAUCCUGAGAAGAGGCCAGAGCACAGCUUUCACUGAAUGAAGGAAAUGCAGAGGCUCAGAGGAAAAAAAAAUGGACUUGCCCAAAGACAGAGAGCUAACAAGUGGGAAAUCAAGACUCAAAUCCAGGUCUUCUGAUCCACAGUGACCAGCAUGGUUUAGCAGCAGAAAGAGUCAAGGAUUGUUGAG